GAUGAAGAACGCAGCGAAAUGCGAUAAGUAAUGUGAAUUGCAGAAUUCAGUGAAUCAUCGAGUAUUUGAACGCACAUUGCGCCCCCUGGUAUUCCGGGGGGCAUGCCUGUCCGAGCGUCAUUGCCGCCCUCAAGCACGGCUUGUGUGUUGGGCCCCCGCCCCCCGGCUUCGGGGGGCGGGCCCGAAAGGCAGCGGCGGCACCGCGUCCGGUCCUCGAGCGUAUGGGGCUUCGUCACCCGCUCUGUAGGCCCGGCCGGCGCCCGCCGGCGACCCCAAUCAAUCUUUCCAGGUUGACCUCGGAUCAGGUAGGGAUACCCGCUGAACUUAAGCAUAUCAAUAAGCGGAGGA
rnacentral:misc_RNA from 1 species